CUCAUUAUCAUGAUCUCUAUCACGAUGACAAUCUCAAAAUUUAAUCAAGGACCAUCAAAUUAAUCAAACAAUUAAGAAUAAUGAUAAAAGAAUAUCAAAUACCAUAUAUUUUAUAUCAAAUAACGUUCAGAAUAAUAUGUUCAAAUCAUCAAAUAUGAAGUCACGAGCCAUUUUUGAGAUUUCAUUUUUCAUUAAGAUUUCUGUCAAUAUGAUACAGUAAGCCAUUAUAUCAACAAACUAUAGUAAGUCACAAACUCUGAACAGCAAGGUCUAUACUCAACAAAAUCUAUCAAAUUCCAAAAAACAAAACCACAAGAAAUUAUAUCAACAAGCUACAGUAAACCAACUUGAAUCAAAAAGAAAUUGUAUCAAUAAAUGACAUUCUCUUCACCUUCUAUCGACUAGUCAGCCAACUUGAAUCCGGCUCUUCCUUUUCGUCAAGUAAAUGUUGGACAUGAAACUUUAUCGACCGUUGAAGCCAAACCUAAAAAGAAAUAUAUAUAAUAUUAAAAAUUAAAAAUCACUAUUAACAGUACAAGUCAUUUAAAAAAUCACUUACCAUUAUUUCGUUCCAUAAUCAAGUGCAAGCACUCAUUAAAGCCUUCAAAGAAGUAGAAUAAAGUCUACUACAAUAUGGACUAAUCAAUCUCCCACUAGUACUAAAUGCAAAUUCCGAAGAAACGAUAGGGACAAGAAUGGCUAAGAAGUCACGAGCCAUUUUUUUUAAAGUAAACAAUUAUAAUCCAUUUGUCUUCAACCAACUUAAAGUGUCAAAUGAUGGUGUGCGGGGUAGCAUAUUUUCUUCUAAAUAAAAAUUCAAUUCCGAUCUUUGUCCAUGUUCGAGCUACUCGACGCGUCAAACCUAUCAAAACUAGAAAGUCGGUCACCCUCAACAUGACCAACAACUUCACUAGAACUAAUCAAAGAAUUUAAACUUUCCACCAAGGUUUUCAAUUCUAGCUUAAUAUCACAAACUUUAGAAAAAAAUUGAAUAGAAGUGGGAUAUUGAGUCCCUAAUAAUUCUUAAAUAAUAUGGUAGAAAAGCUUUAAUGUAUCACGAACUUCUUUUGCUGCACUCCACUGACCUUCGGUUGGAAACAACGAUAACUACGGUCAUUCUUCCUGAAGACCCUAUUCAAUAUAAGACACGGUCAUGCACAUUAUUAAUACUAUAUUGUGUCCUUGCAUAAUCAAACUCAAGAUAUAUGUGGUACAUCACACAUGUAACAUUCAACCCAUUAACAAUAAAUUCCUUUUACAAAGUUUCUCAUUUAACAAAGUUUUCAUCAUAGCAUUGUUUGUGCUACAAUUAUCAACUGUAGUUGUUGAAAUUCUUCUUACAAGACCCCACUCUAACAAGCAAUUAUGCAACGCACUACACAAAGUAUCCUUAUCAUGUGGAGCAGGAACAUAAAUAAUUUAAGAAUAUGGCUUUGAAGUCUCUAUGAAUCAUCAAUAAAAUGCGUAGUAAUAACCAUGAACCCUUGUUGAUGUUGUCCGAAGUCCACAUAUCAGUUGUUAUUGCAAUUUUACUUGUGAGUUUUUCUAAUAACAUAGAAGUUUUUUUUAUUUCAAAUUGCCGAAAUAUUUCUGUAUAUCAUUCUUGAUUGUGAUCCUAGACACCAUUUUGAACAACGAUUGGAGACUAGCAACAAACUUUCUAAAUCCUACAUAAUCAACAAUGAACAAUGGAUACUUGUGCAAAAUGAUAGCAUAAGCAAGUUCUCUGCGUGAAAUAUCUUGAUCAAAAUAUUAUUGUUGGCUACCAUUACCCCCGAACUACCCUCAUUGUCUAUGUUACUUGGUUUUUUGCGAUAUCGACUAUGGAUAUGAUCUAACAUAGACGAUGUCCCACAAUUUCUUAUUGAUUUGAUAUGAGUAUUACAAUACUUACAAACACCAAAAUGAACACGAUUAAUCAUCACCGCUUUAAAAUGCUUCCAUGCGUCAGAAACAAGUUUCUCUUCCUAGUUUCAUCAAUAAGUUCAAUAGUAACUUCAUCGGCUUGCAUAGGCAAUUGACUCUCACUCUCUAUAGGAAAAGUACAAGAAGAUGAAUCAACCGGAUUCUCUUCAUUUUAAGAAACCAUACUUUUUUAUAAAAAAAUAAGCUAAAUUAAUAUUAUGAGACAUUUCUAAGUGCGCGUGAAAAAUGAAAAAAAAAUCAGUUAAGCAGUUUAUGAUAGAAAUUAUAUAAAAUGCAUCCCAAAGCAGUUUAUGACAGAAACAUGACAGCAACUUUAAUUAUACUUCAAAGGAGACAAUUUAUUACUGGAAGAUUUCGCCAAAAAAAGUUACUCUACAGACGUCUGCUAUGUCAUAAAUCUUAUAGCAGAUACUUAUGCACAAUGUGUUAAUUUGUAGCCUAACAUUAAAAACAAGAAAGUAAUUUUAUGAUCUGAAAGAAUGGAGUCUUAAUUUGUAGUUUAACUUUGUAGGGAUUAGUGAACGAGUUUCAUAUUCCUAAAUCCGAUGACCCGAAGUUCAGAGAAAUAGUAAUUCCAUUGGCUUAACACAAAUGGUCUACUUGGAAUCAUAUUUACCUUUGGCCUUCUCUACACAGCCUUAGAGAGCAGGAAAGUAAAGUCAUGGUUGUACGGCCCAGGUUUGUCACUUCAUCAAAUAGAGGUCUUUUAUCACUGAUGCCCAUAACGUGUUUGAUAAAAUUUUCCAUAGGAAAAUCGAAAAUGCAAAGUUUUAAACUAAAAUUGAAUAGGAAUUCCACAACAAAGAUAAAACCCAAGAACUUAAUCCAAGAUUACUAGAACUAGAAAAUGGAGCUACAGUGAGAAAUAGAAUUCAGAAAGGAAAGGGGACUCACAAUCCUUGAUAAACCACAGAAUAACGACCUUCACUGAUAAUUGAAAGCUGCUGUAAAUUUUGUUGAUUAUCGAGGAGAGGACGAAGGAGAGUCUAAGAGAGAUGAGCCGUAAAAGAGUGAGAGAGCAGUUGACUAGGUUAAUAGAGUGAAAUUGGGACUAGGGUUUUUAUAUGUAGCCUUUAUGUCUGUUAGUUCAAAAAAUUAAAUCGCCACCCGCGACUCACCCCGUCCC
rnacentral:lncRNA from 1 species